rnacentral:rRNA from 1 species
GAUGAACGCUAGCGGCAGGCCUAACACAUGCAAGUCGAGGGGCAGCACAGAAACAGCAAUGUUUUGGUGGCGACCGGCGGACGGGUGCGUAACGCGUAUGCAACCUACCUUUAACAGGGGGAUAACGGAGAGAAAUUUCCACUAAUACCCCAUAACAUUGACCAAGGCAUCUUGAUUGGUUGAAGACUCCGGUGGUUAAAGAUGGGCAUGCGUUGUAUUAGGUAGUUGGUGAGGUAAUGGCUCACCAAGCCUACGAUACAUAGGGGGACUGAGAGGUUAGCCCCCCACACUGGUACUGAGACACGGACCAGACUCCUACGGGAGGCAGCAGUGAGGAAUAUUGGUCAAUGGGGGCAACCCUGAACCGGCCAUGCCGCGUGCAGGAAGACGGCUCUAUGAGUUGUAAACUGCUUUUAAACAGGGAUAAAGCACAGUAUGUAUACUGUGUUGAAGGUACUGUAAGAAUAAGGAUCGGCUAACUCCGUGCCAGCCGCCGCAGUAA